rnacentral:rRNA from 1 species
GAUGAACGCUAGCUACAGGCUUAACACAUGCAAGUCGAGGGGUAACGAGAGGAAAGCUUGCUUUCCUUGUCGACGACCGGCGCACGGGUGAGUAACGCGUAUCCAACCUGCCCCCAACUAGGGAAUAACCUUGCGAAAGUAAGACUAAUAACCUAUAAUUUCCUCAGAUGUCAUCUGACGAGGAAUAAAGAUUUAUCGGUUGUGGAUGGGGAUGCGUCUGAUUGGCUUGUUGGCGGGGUAACGGCCCACCAAGGCAACUAUCAGUAGUGGUUCUGAGAGGAAGGUCCCCCACAUUGGAACAGAGACACGGUCCAAACUCCUACCGGAGGCAGCAGUGUGGAAUAUUGGUCAAUGGGCGGAAGCCUGAACCAGCCAAGUAGCGUGCAGGAUGACGGCCCUAUGGGUUGUAAACUGCUUUUAUACAGGAAUAAAGUUAGCCACGUGUGGUUAUUUGUAGGUACUGUAUGAAUAAGGACCGGCUAAUUCCUUGCCAGCCGCCGCUGUAA